UCCAUCCAGUCGAGGUUGCGGGCGUGCAUGAGCUUGCCGUCGGUGGCGUGGUCGCCCCACACCACGAGCUGGCGGCACGCGACGGCGUUCGUCAGCGAGUAGAAACAGUUGAGGAAGAGCACGUCAUCGAACGCGAGCCCGCUUCCCUCGGCGAUGCCGCGCAUCUCGGCCAGAUCGUCCUUGUCGAUCGAGCGGCCCAGCGCACGAGCGGCGGCGUAGAGCUGGUCCUUGUCGAGCCCGGUCAACCGGC
rnacentral:rRNA from 1 species